rnacentral:rRNA from 1 species
GUCCUAGCCGUAAACGGUGAUCACUAGGUGUUGGGGGCGAUUGACCCCUCCCAGUGCCGCAGCUAACGCAUUAAGUGAUCCGCCUGGGGAGGUACGGCCGCAAGGUUGAAACUCAAAGGAAAUUGACGGGGGCCCCGGCACAAGCGGUGGAGCAUGUGGUUUAAUUUCGACGCAACGCGAAGAAACCUUACCCCAGACUUGACAUGCAAUGGACGGGUGUGGAAACACACCUUCCCUUCGGGGCCGUUGCACAGGUGCUGCAUGGCUGUCGU